UGUGUGUGUGCCCGUGUGUGCGUGUGGCCCUUAACCGGUGGCAACUUUAAGACAGCAAAAGAAGGGUCGGUCACGGUUUCGUUUACGGUUACGCUAACGGAUUGAAUAAACACACGGCCACGGCCGCGGUCGCCACACGGAAGUGCAGAGUGGAAAAAAGUGCAGAGCCCGAAAACGACCGGAAAUCAACUAAAUUGUCGUCACUCCAAUCAAGUGGAAAUUUGAUUAAAACGAAAGGCGAACCCAGAGAAGAGCGAGAGAAAGGAAAAAAUUUGAGCGAGAGUCUAUGAAAAGGUAGCGGCAGAAAAGGAAAUCAACACGCACGCACAUGAGCGAGCUUUCCUUUGGAAAACAUUAAAAAUCGAAAUCAGCGAAGCGUAAAACUUUCCACAAAAGCUAGCAAAAAACACGUAAAGAACAAAAAACCCAUACAAAAGGUGAAACAAAGUGAGAGAACAAUAAUUUUUGUAGUGCCGAAGAAAGAAGCACUAAAGACCGCAACACAAGGACCAGCUGACGGCCAGGAGUGGACAGGAUACUCUGCUUUAUUUUCGUCCUUUCGGCCAAAGCAUGAAAUUAAGUGCAGAUUAUCAGAAGAUUAUAUUUUAAUAGCAUUUCAAGCUGUUGCCUUUCUUGGACCCAAAGCAAGUGGAAAUCUGACCCUACAACAACCACAGCCAUUUUGUGGCAGUGCUUUGUGUGCCUGUGUGUGUGUGCCUGUGUGUGUGUGUGCUACAAGUGCGGCUUAUUACAUGAUUACUGCCUCGUACAAGGGAAAAUAUACGUAUCUAAUGCAAACACACAAAAUACAUACAUGAAAGAAAGCGUGCAAGAAAUUGAAAUUAAAAGAGGAAUUAAGUGUCGCGUGUGUUGUCUCCGUGUGUGUGUUUAAUCUAUAUAGUGUCCUGUUCCUGUGUAUUCGAGGCAAAUAUUGAGCAUACGCCUCGUGGACUUUCGUGGAGCAACAGGCUUAACCCGUAAGGAAUCCGAGAGGGGGAGACUGGAACUAGAGCGUGAGGCUAAACUAAACAGGAGAUCUCACUGGCAACUCGAAUCCAACCCAAGCUGAUUUCACAGUCACUUUCGGCCAGGACUCGGCGAUAGAGCGACAGAGCGA